rnacentral:rRNA from 1 species
GACGAACGCUGGCGGCGUGCUUAACACAUGCAAGUCGAACGGAAAGGCCCUGCUUUUGUGGGGUGCUCGAGUGGCGAACGGGUGAGUAACACGUGAGUAACCUGCCCUUGACUUUGGGAUAACUUCAGGAAACUGGGGCUAAUACCGGAUAGGAGCUCCUGCAGCAUGGUGGGGGUUGGAAAGUUUCGGCGGUUGGGGAUGGAAUCGCGGCUUAUCAGCUUGUUGGUGGGGUAGUGGCUUACCAAGGCUUUGACGGGUAGCCGGCCUGAGAGGGUGACCGGCCACAUUGCGACUGAGAUACGGCCCAGACUCCUACGGUACGCAGCAGUGGGGAAUAUUGCACAAUGGGCGGAAGCCUGAUGCAGCAACGCCGCGUGCGGGAUGACGGCCUUCGGGUUGUAAACCGCUUUCGCCUGUGCCGAAGCGUGAGUGACGGUAAUGGGUAAAGAAGCACCGGCUAACUACGUG